AACGAACGCUGGCGGCGUGGAUAAGACAUGCAAGUCGAGCGCUGAUUACAGGGUAGCAAUAUUCUGUGGUCGGAGCAGCGCAAGGGUGCGUAACACGUGGGUAAUCUGCCGUGAAGUUUGGGAUAACUUGCUGAAAGGCGAGCUAAUACCGGAUGUGAAAAUUAGGAGGCAUCUUCCGAUUUUCAAAGCUGGGGACCGUAAGGCCUGGCGCUUCAUGANGAGCCCGCGGCCUAUCAGCUAGUUGGUGAGGUAACGGCUCACCAAGGCUAAGACGGGUAGCUGGUCUGAGAGGACGACCAGCCACACUGGAACUGAGACACGGUCCAGACACCUACGGGUGGCAGCAGUCGAGAAUUUUUCACAAUGGGCGCAAGCCUGAUGGAGCGACGCCGCGU
rnacentral:rRNA from 1 species